rnacentral:misc_RNA from 1 species
AAAUAAUGUAAACCAAAACAUUAUUUCUGAGGCUUUACGAAUUCCCAUUGUUCUCGCUCCAAAAGUCACCUCACCUCCUCUUCAGGUCUACACACAAUGACCUCCCCCCAAUACUUAUGUUAACCCAAACAAUAUUUCUCAUGAUGAUGUGGGUACACAAGCAAAUCCAAGUGACUCAUCUCCUGUUCCAACACUAUCCUCCAGUCCUCCGAAAAAGGUAUUUG